rnacentral:rRNA from 1 species
AACGCGAAGAACCUUACCCAGACUUGACAUGCAGUAGACAGUGCCAGAAAUGGCAUCUUCCUUCGGGACUGCUGCACAGGUGCUGCAUGGCUGUCGUCAGCUCGUGCCGUGAGGUGUUGGGUUAAGUCCCGCAACGAGCGCAACCCUUAUCAUUAGUUGCCAACAUUUAAGGUGGGAACUCUAAUGAGACUGCCCGGGUUAACCGGGAGGAAGGUGAGGAUGACGUCAAGUCCGCAUGGCCCUUAUGUCUGGGGCUACACACGUGCUACAAUGGUCGGUACAGAAGGCAGCGAAGCCGCGAGGUGAAGCAAAUCCAAAAAGCCGAUCCCAGUUCAGAUUGUAGUCUGCAACUCGACUACAUGAAGAUGGAAUUGCUAGUAAUGGCGAGUCAGCAACAUCGCCGUGAAUACGUUCCGCGGGUCUGAUACACACCG